rnacentral:rRNA from 1 species
GACGAACGCUGGCGGCGUGCUUAACACAUGCAAGUCGAACGGAAAGGCCCUGCUUUUGUGGGGUGCUCGAGUGGCGAACGGGUGAGUAACACGUGAGUAACCUGCCCUUGACUUUGGGAUAACUUCAGGAAACUGGGGCUAAUACCGGAUAGGAGCUCCUGCUGCAUGGUGGGGGUUGGAAAGUUUCGGCGGUUGGGGAUGGACUCGCGGCUUAUCAGCUUGUUGGUGGGGUAGUGGCUUACCAAGGCUUUGACGGGUAGCCGGCCUGAGAGGGUGACCGGCCACAUUGGGACUGAGAUACGGCCCAGACUGCUACGGGAGGGAGCAGUGGGGAAUAUUGCACAAUGGGCGGAAGCCUGAUGCAGCCACGCCGCGUGCGGGAUGACGGCCUUCGGGUUGUAAACCGCUUUCGCCUGUGACGAAGCGUGAGUGACGGUAAUGGGUAAAGAAGCACCGGCUAACUACGUG